GACGAACGCUGGCGGCGUGCCUAAUACAUGCAAGUCGAGCGAAUGACGAGGAGCUUGCUCCUUUGAUUUAGCGGCGGACGGGUGAGUAACACGUGGGUAACCUACCCUAUAGACUGGGAUAACUUCGGGAAACCGGAGCUAAUACCGGAUAAUACUUUUGAACACAUGUUCGAAAGUUGAAAGAUGGUUUCGGCUAUCACUAUAGGAUGGACCCGCGGCGCAUUAGCUAGUUGGUGGGGUAAUGGCUCACCAAGGCAACGAUGCGUAGCCGACCUGAGAGGGUGAUCGGCCACACUGGGACUGAGACACGGCCCAGACUCCUACGGGAGGCAGCAGUAGGGAAUCUUCCACAAUGGACGAAAGUCUGAUGGAGCAACGCCGCGUGAGUGAAGAAGGAUUUCGGUUCGUAAAACUCUGUUGCAAGGGAAGAACAAGUAGCGUAGUAACUGGCGCUACCUUGACGGUACCUUGUUAGAAAGCCACGGCUAACUACGUGCCAGCAGCCGCCGUAAGAC
rnacentral:rRNA from 1 species